AGGAUAAAAACUAUGUCUUCGCAGGUGACUUCUGUGGCACGAAAGGCGAACUACUGCUACUUGCAUCAAAAUAUAUCAUCGCUGCUGCUUGUGGGAGUGGUGGAAUCAUUAUAAUAGUAGCAAUAGUAAUUUGCUUCAUUUGUAAAGGUAGACAACUAAAGGACAAAACUGAAAAAGACUACUAUAUUACAGACCAGGCUACCCUAAGUAACAAUCAUCCAAUGGGUUUUUUUGGUCGUCAAAGAUUACCAUCUAAUAUGUACUUCUCAAUGAGAGAUAGUACGUAUAACGUUGACGAUAGAAGGUACACCGUGAUCGAAGAUGUAACAAGCAAAAAGGGAAAUACAUAUAUUUACAACCCAUCGUCAGAACCGUCAGCAAAUACAGAAAUUGAUAACAGAUCUGACCAUGUAUACUACAACAAAUCUUUUUGUUCUGAAGAGUUUGCCAUUAAAAGACCACACUUACGGACUGAGAGGGAUUCAUUUCGUUCGGAUUAUAACAGACCAAAGAUACAUCGACCAGAUUACAUGUAAUAUAACUAUGCAAGUCAUUCGAAAGUCAUACACGGCAUAAGGUGUAAUGGACAUAAAGAAUGUAUUUUUGUAUCACCAUGGACAAUGUGACAUUAACCUACCGUCCAUUGAAGCAUUUGAUUUUGUGUAACCGUUACGUUUUGCCAUUUUGUUGAUGAAAUAAUGUUGUAUUUUUUACUUUUUAAAUGAAAGAAUGUGUUUCAUAUAUAAGUGGAUCACCGGUUUGAUGAAGUUAUAAAAUGAAUUGAUAAACAUUUUUCUUAUCAAAAUCAUAUGCAUUUAUCUAAAUAUGUUUAUAUAUUCAGAAAUGACUUAAUAAAGCACAUAC